AGCUCCAAUAGCGUAUAUUUAAGUUGUUGCGGUUAAAAAGCUCGUAGUUGGAUUUCGGGCGUGGAGGUUCGGUCCGCCGUUUCGGUGUGCACUGUCUUUCUGCGUCUUUCUGUCGGGGACGCGCUUCUGGCCUUAAUUGGCUGGGACGUGGAUUCGACGAGGUUACUUUGAAAAAAUUAGAGUGUUCAAAGCAAGCUAAAGCUCUGAAUACAUUAGCAUGGAAUAACGCGAGAGGACUCGGUCCUUAUUUUGUUGGUCUUCAAGGAUGGAGUAAUGAUUAAGAGGGACAGUUGGGGGCAUUCGUAUUUCAUUGCUAGAGGUGAAAUUCUUGGAUUUAUGAAAGACGAACUUCUGCGAAAGCAUUUGCCAAGGAUGUUUUCAUUGAUCAAGAACGAAAGUA
rnacentral:rRNA from 1 species